rnacentral:lncRNA from 1 species
UAAACUUUUAAGGUGAUAUACUUAUUCAGUAUAUUAGGAGCUGAAUUAUAAAAGAAGUUCCAUCUAAAAAGAAAUCUCAGUGCUUUUCUCUUAAAUGGUGAAUAUAGUAUGUUAUUAAUUUGAAGGUCAUGCCUAAAACCUUAUAUGUGUGCCAGAUGUGUGCUACAUAUAGACUUAAUUUUUUGUUGUUGUUUUGACAGGAAAUGCACAAUUUUGAGGACGAGUUAACCUGUCCCAUUUGUUAUAGUAUCUUUGACGAUCCUCGUGUACUACCAUGCUCUCAUACAUUUUGUAGAAACUGUUUGGAAAAUGUUCUUCAGGCAUCUGGUAACUUUUACAUAUGGAGACCUCUGCGAAUCCCACUCAAGUGUCCUAACUGCAGAAGUAUUAUUGAAAUUGCUUCGACUGGCAUAGAAUCCUUACCUGUAAACUUUGCAUUAAGAGCAAUUA